AUUGAACGCUGGCGGCAGGCCUACCACAUGCAAGUCGAGCGAGCGGCGGACGGGUGAGUAAUGUAUGGGGACUGCCCGUUAGAGGGGGAUAACUACUGGAAACGGUAGCUAAUACCGCAUACUAUCGGAUAACCCAUAUGGGGUUAUCUAGUUGGUGGGGUAAAGCCUCACCAAGGCAACGAUCCGUAGCUGGUUUGAGAGGACGACCAGCCACACUGGGACGGAGACACGGCCCAGACUCCUACGGAGGCAGCAGUGGGGAAUUUUGGACAAUGGGGAAACCCUGAUCCAGCCAUCCCGCGUGUAUGAUGAAGGCCUUCGGGUUGUAAAGUACUUUUGGCAGAGAAGCGGUAUCUGCAGAAUAAGCACCGGCUAACUACGUGCCAGCCGCCGCGGUAAUAC
rnacentral:rRNA from 1 species